GCCAGCAGCCAUAUCACCCUGCAGCCUCUCAACUAGCGACCCACUGGAGCUCAGCAGGUGUGAGCCUGGUCAGUACCUGGAUAGGAGACCUCCUGGGAAAUCUAAGGUUGCUGCUGGAA
rnacentral:rRNA from 1 species